rnacentral:lncRNA from 1 species
UAAGGGGCUGAUUUGGAUCCACUAGUUUAAUGUUAUGGUUAGACUUUGUCUUAAUUCUUCUUUCGUAGUUGCGGAUGCUUGCGAGAGGGGUUAAUCAUAAGUGGGAGGUUUGUCCAAGUAAGGGCAGCACCCAAGCACCGGUCCACCCACAUAUCAAACUAUCAAAGUAGCGAACGCAAAUCAUAUGAACAUGAUGGAAACUAGCUUGACAGAAAUUCUCAUGUGUCCUCGGGAGCGCUUUACCUCCUAUAAGAGUUUGUCCAGUCUUGUCUGU